CCAGCUGUUAUCAAAAGAUCUGUUUCGAUUUGAGCAUACUUCAAGUGAGAAAUAGUUUGAGGAUUAUUUCUCCUCCCUAACUCUGGGAUGUUGUAUAAGAAGCCAAAAUGAAGAAGACCAACUUACUCUGCUCACUGGUUUUUAAAGUGCUCCACCUCCACCACCUGUCACUCUCCGGGGGGCUGUGCCUGGAGAACGCUCACAGUGCCGAGUUCAGCUGCAGACUGCGUGGUGGAGGGCGGCGGCAGAAGGAAAGACAGGUGCCGAUUUGGAGUUCUCCUUGUGAAGCAAAAAGCGCACCACGAUCGGGGAGAGAGAAAAGCUGCGAGGCUAGCCUUAAUGGCCCUAUGACCACAUCAGACUCUGAAACACUGAGACUCUGGGAUGACCCCUGUCCGUCCUCUGCUCUGCUGAUUCUCGCUGCUUCUCUUGGUUUCUGCAGCUGGGGAACGGAAUUUCAAGCAAAUUGUUAUAAUAACGCGCGAGAUAAGGAGACCUCUUGCUAUCAAGAGAGUAAGAUGAUGGACUUCUCCUUUUUGCAAAGUGAAGAGCAUUUUUACUCCUUCUCACCAUGUGUGUAGAGUUCAAAGUGAAGACGAUCAAGACUCAGUUCUCCUGAGUCCAAGACAUUGAUCUAUGGUCUCCCAACAGUGGUUGGAAUUUUCAGUACUUUAUAGUUACCUAGCCAUGCACCCGAGAUUGAAGUCAACAGAAUGUGCAAUACUCCUUGUCUCAAAUAUAAAUAAAGCUAUGUGUUGCCUUUAAAUGGCCCCAGUGUUUUACUAAAAAUUAUUAACAGCCCUUAACAGAUUCAGGACUCGGUGACUGCCUCCUUUUAAGCCACUUUCAUUCAAAGAGAGAGAGAGAAAGGAGGAAAGUAGGGAGAGAGGGCAGAAAAGAAGGGAGGGAGGAUGGGAAGGAGGGAAGAAGGAAGGAAAGAAAGACGGAGGAAAGAAAAAAGCAAAGGGUGGGAGGGAGGAAGGAAAGAAAGAAAAAUUAGAGGGAGAAGACCAUCAUUUUCAAGUGAGAAGGAAAUUACUUGCAAGAUUCAAUAAUCUGAGUACCUGUUGCUUCCCAAAACCAGAAAAAAAAAUAUUUUAAAGCAAAUUCAAUUUACUUACGUCAUGUUAUAUUAAAAAAUGCCAUAUUAUUUUUAAAAGUAGAUACAGAUUAAUGGUAUGCUAAAGAUGUAAGUAUGACAUCAAAAUAAAUAACAAACAUUUUAGAAGUUAAUGUUCUCAAAGUUUGAAAGAAACAGUACUACAUAUUGAAAGAAGACACUAUUUAUUAUUUUGGUGAGAAAGAUUUGCCUGAACUAACAUCUGUGCCACUCUUCCUCUAUUUUGUAUGUGGGAUGCCUGCACCACAUGGCUGAUGAGUGGAGUAGGUCCACACCCGGGAUCCGAACCCAGGAACCAGGGCCGCGGAAGUGGAGUGCAGAACUAUAACCACUCAGCCAUGGGGCUGGCCCGAGGACAUUAUUUAAAGUGGAAAAAAAUCUUAGUGACUAUUCUAUUUCCUGUAUUAUUGUGAGAAUGACAGUUUAUUAGAAAUGAGAAUAUAUUUUCUUAAUAAAAAAGACAAACUUUAUCUUA
ensembl:lncRNA